CUGGAAUUUAUUGUUACACACGUGUGAAGUUUGGAGGCAUGGACUUGAUACAACAGUAAACAGAUGAACAUUACUGUAAGUAGAUUAGUAAAAUACUACUAAUAAAACAGUUAUAGUGAUUUUUAUUCAGAAUAAUAUUCAAACACAUG
rnacentral:lncRNA from 1 species